UCUAUGAUGAAUGCCUACGGAAGUGAGUUCCUUUGAAUUCAUGGCGUUAUGAAGUAUUCAAUAACCUCUAGUUUGAGAUAUUUCCUGAUAAUCCUUAGUUUUUUAGCCUUGAUGUUUCAUUUGGAAGGUUUUGCUCGAAUAUAAUGAUUAUUUUGUGACGAUUGUUGGUGAUUUGUUUCUAAUGUAGUUUGAACAUUGGGGUCGGAUAAAGUUAUCCAGAAUGUGACAGGCUGCUAUUAAAUGGAAAUUGUAUAAUGAAAAACAUGAACAUGAAAAGGGGAAAAAAAUGACAAUCGGGUUUUUACAGAAAAGGUGAUCAAUAUGGGAUAGGUAUCUUAUUUUUACGUAUUUUGCAUGAAAUAUCAUGUGAUAUGCUGUUGCUUUUUUCUGUUUUGUCCACUUUUAUUUCCCUUUUCUAGUUUAGCAUGAUUUUUAUCAUAUAUUCAUAUUCUUUGAUGGUUUCUUCCGUUAUAUUCCUCUUGUUCUUCUGCUGUCAUAUGAAAAAUUUCCAUAUUUUUUAUUGGGUUUCCAAGUGGUUAAAGUUUUCCAUCAGUUACAUAGUCAAAUAACAUAUUACCAUGUGACUUUCUUGAAAUGCUUAGAAUUCAACUAGACAAUCCAUUAUAUAUAUAUAUAUAUAAUG
rnacentral:misc_RNA from 1 species